UCCUGGCUCAGGAUGAACGCUAGCGGCAGGCUUAACACAUGCAAGUCGAGGGGCAUCGGGAGUAGCAAUACUUGCCGGCGACCGGCGCAAGGGUGCGUAACGCGUGAGCAACAUGCCCGUAUCAGGGGGAUAAUCCAUGGAAACGUGGUCUAAUACCCCAUAGUAAUUAUGUAAGGCAUCUUAUAUAAUUUAAAGCUUUGGUGGAUACGGAUUGGCUCGCGUGACAUUAGCUGGAUGGUAAGGUAACGGCUUACCAUGGCUACGAUGUCUAGGGGUUCUGAGAGGAAGGUCCCCCACACUGGAACUGAGACACGGUCCAGACUCCUACGGGAGGCAGCAGUGAGGAAUAUUGGACAAUGGAUGGAAAUCUGAUCCAGCCAUGCCGCGUGCCAGGAAGACGGCCCUAUGGGUUGUAAACUGCUUUUGUAUGGGAGCAAUAAGGGCUACGUGUAGUCCGAUGAGAGUACCAUACGAAUAAGCACCGGCUAACUCCGUGCCAGCCGCCGC
rnacentral:rRNA from 1 species